rnacentral:snRNA from 1 species
GAGGUCUAAUUCAAUAUGUCAAUUUGAAACGAUACAGAAAAGACUAGCAUGGCCUCUGCACUAAGGAUGACACGCUUUAUCAAAGAGACGCCCUAU